AUACUUACCUGGCAGGGGAGAUACCAUGAUCACGAAGGUGAUUUUCCCAGGGCGAGGCUUAUCCAUUGCACUCCGGAUGUGCUGACCCCUGCGAUUUCCCCAAAUGUGGGAAACUCGACUGCAUAAUUUGUGGUAGUGGGGGACUGCGUUCGCGCUCUCCCCUA
ensembl:snRNA U1 U1 spliceosomal RNA